rnacentral:rRNA from 1 species
CCUACGGGGUACAGCAGUGAGGAAUAUUGGUCAAUGGGCUAGAGCCUGAACCAGCCAAUUCGCGUGAGGGAGUACUGCCCUAUGGGUUGUAAACCUCUUUUGUCGGGGCGCAAAAGCCGGACGUGUCCGGCCGUGAGAGUACCCGAAGAAAACGCAGCGGCUAACUCCGUGCCAGCAGCCGCGGGAAUACGGAGGAUGCGAGCGUUAUCCGUAUUUUUUGGUUUUAACGGGUGCGCAGGCGGAUUUUUAAGUCAGCGGUCAAAUCGUGGGGCUCAACCCCAUCCAGCCGUUGAAACUGGGGAUCUUGAGUGUGCGAGAGGUAUGCGGAAUGCGUGGUGUAGCGGUGAAAUGCAUAGAGAUCACGCAGAACCCCGAUUGCGAAGGCAGCAUACCGGUGCACAACUGACGCUCAGGCACGAAAGCGUGGGUAUCGAACAGGAUUAGAUACCCCAGUAGUC